AUUGAACGCUGGCGGCAGGCCUAACACAUGCAAGUCGAACGGUAGCACAGAGAGCUUGCUCUCGGGUGACGAGUGGCGGACGGGUGAGUAAUGUCUGGGAAACUGCCCGAUGGAGGGGGAUAACUGCUGGAAACGGUAGCUAAUACCGCACAACGUCGCAAGACCAAAGUGGGGGACCUUCGGGCCUCACACCAUCGGAUGUGCCCAGAUGGGAUUAGCUAGUAGGUGGGGUAAUGGCUCACCUAGGCGACGAUCCCUAGCUGGUCUGAGAGGAUGACCAGCCACACUGGAACUGAGACACGGUCCAGACUCCUACGGGAGGCAGCAGUGGGGAAUAUUGCACAAUGGGCGCAAGCCUGAUGCAGCCAUGCCGCGUGUAUGAAGAAGGCCUUCGGGUUGUAAAGUACUUUCAGCGGGGAGGAAGGCGGUGAAGUUAAUAACUUCACCGAUUGACGUUACCCGCAGAAGAAGCACCGGCUAACUCCGUGCCAGCCGCCGCAGUAA
rnacentral:rRNA from 1 species